rnacentral:ribozyme from 1 species
UGCCCAGCAACUCCUAUCCCUACCUCCUCGUGGUACCGAACGGAAACUACGAGCAACCUUAGGGAAGAUCGGGUAACCAACCCCGGUGGAAACUUUGGUCGUAGGCUGAUAGGGAAGG